rnacentral:rRNA from 1 species
AGCGAACGCUGGCGGCAGGCCUAACACAUGCAAGUCGAACGGGCACCUUCGGGUGUCAGUGGCAGACGGGUGAGUAACACGUGGGAACGUGCCCUUUGGUUCGGAACAACUCCGGGGAAACUGGAGCUAAUACCGGAUAAGCCCUUCGGGGAAGAUUAUCGCCAAAGGAUCGGCCCGCGUACUGAUUAGCUUGUUGGUGAGGUAAUGGCUCACCAAGGCGACGAUCAGUAGCUGGUCNGAGAGGAUGAUCAGCCACACUGGGACUGAGACACGGCCCA